UUGUCCCUACGGGACGCAGCAGUGAGGAAUAUCGGUCAAUGGGCGGAAGCCUGAACCAGCCAAGUCGCGUGAGGGAAGAAGGCCCUGCGGGUCGCAGACCUCUUUGGACGGGGAGCAAGGCCGCCGACGUGUCGGCGGAAGGAGAGUACCCGUAGAACAAGCAUCGGCUAACUCCGUGCCAGCAGCCGCGGUAAUACGGAGGAUGCGAGCGUUAUCCGGAUUUAUUGGGUUUAAAGGGUGCGUAGGCGGGACGGUAAGUCAGCGGUAAAAAUGCGGAGCUCAACUCCGUCGAGCCGUUGAAACUG
rnacentral:rRNA from 1 species